rnacentral:rRNA from 1 species
UACGAAGGGUGCAAACGUUGCUCGGAAUUAUUGGGCCUAAAGCAUCCGUAGCCGGUUUUACAAGUCCCCCGUUAAAUCCAGCUGCUUAACAGAUGGGCUGCGGAGGAUACUAUAAGACUAGGAGGCAGGAGAGGCAAGCGGUACUCAGUGGGUAGGGGUAAAAUCCGUUGAUCCAUUGAAGACCACCAGUGGCGAAGGCGGCUUGCCAGAACGCGCUCGACGGUGAGGGAUGAAAGCUGGGGGAGCAAACCGG